CGUUGUGGUUUCUCACGGAGACAAUCAAAGCAGGGAAGGCUGGAUUUUAAAUUGGUGAGACACACACUGGAAAUAUGUAAUUCCCAGAAGAAAAAAAGAAACUGCUGAAGAGGGGUAUGGGGGCUGUUGGCAGCAUGUCCAAGUGACAACCCUCCCCACCCCCACCCUAAUAUAGCACAAAUCCACAGAUUCUUCUUCGAUCCUCUUCUCCCUCCAGUUCCCAGUACUCUACCCAACUUGACCCUUCAUCCUAAAAAUUUAGGAAUCUGCAGGGCACCCGCUGUUUAAGAGUGUGUCUCUCAGUAUAUGCACCCAAUUUUCUGGAACCCCUGAAUCCGGACAGUUGUAGCAGGCAAGGGAUGCUCCCACCCUCCCACCGGGGAAGAGCUAUUGUGCUCUGAGUGGGUAGAAAACAUGAUGGCAAGUGUAUGGUGCUGAAUCAAGGUAAAAGAGGAAAUGAUUAUGUACUCACAGAGGGUGGAACAUAAAGGUGAUUGGAAAGAAUCAGGAUGUCAGAUUGUGUUGGAUUAGUCUUCCAGCCUUCACUGAGGUCUACAGUAUAGAUACUGGAUUGGCUUAAAUUGAACGUUCUGCAAAUAAGAGAAGGUAUAUUCUUGUCCAAGAGGAUGUGGUAUCUACAUAUAGGAGGAAAGAUAUACGUGUACAUGUGGUGGCUGAACCAUUUGAUUGUGGAUCAGGAUACAUAAGCAGCAAGUUCAAAGACUGAAGGAACAAGGAAUAUCAGCUCAUAAAGAUGAGAAAGAAUCAGAGCAAGAACUCUGGCAACUCAAAAGCCAAGGUGUCUUCUUACCUCCAAACAACCAUAUUAUUUCGUUAGCAACGAUUCUUAACCAGACUGAGAUUGCUGAAGUAACAUAAGCAGAAUUCAAAUAUAGAUAGAAAUGAAGAUCACUGACAUACUGGAGGAAAUCAAAACCCAAUUCCAGGAUUUUUAAGAUUUUUGUUUUUUGAGAUGGAGUCUUGCUCUGUUGUUGCCCAGGCUGGAGUGCAGUGUUGCGGUCUCGGCUCACUGCAACCUCCGCCUCCCGGGUUCAAGCGAUUCUUCUGCCUCAGCCUCCCGAGUAGCUGGGACUACAGGCAUGUGCCACCACACCUGGCUAAUUUUUGUAUUUUUAGUAGAGAUGGGGUUUCACCAUAUUGGCCAGGCUGGUCUCGAACAUCUGACCUUAUGAUCCACCUGCCUCAGCCUUCCAAAGUGCUGGGAUUACAGGCACAGUCGGCCAAUAUUUUUAUAUACCAGAUUAUGUCACUAGUAAAUAGAGAUAAUUUCACUGUCUCCUUUUCAAUCUGGAGGCAUUUUCUUCCUUCCUUUUUCCCUUCCCUUCUCUCCCCUCCCCUCCCCUUCCCUCCUGUUUUUCUUUCUACUUACUUUCUUACUUUUGCCUCUUUGUCUUGGUUAGAAUUUCCAGUAUGAUGUUAAAUAACAAUGGAAAGAGCAGUUAUCCUUGUCUUGUUCCUCAUUUUAGAGGCUUAACCCUGGAGUUUUUGUCUAUGCCCCUUGUGAAGUUUAAAAAGUUUUUCCCAAUCAUAGUUUGUUGAUGGUUCUUAUAAUGACAGAGCAUUUGAUUUGAUUAAGUGGUUUUUUCUGCUUUUAUUGCAAUGAUGUUGUGAUUUUUGCUUUUUAACUAUUGAUAUGGUGGGUUACAUUGAUUGAUUUCAGAUAUUAAGCCAACUUUGCAUUUCUGGGAAUAAUCCCACUGGUUGAUGAUGGAUAAUCUUUUUUAUAUGUUACUAGACUCAUUUUUCCAGUAUUUUGGCGAGGAUUUUUGCAUCUAUGUUGGUCUAUAGUUUUCUUUUACUGUGUACCUUUGCUUCUGAUAUUGAGGCAAUAAUGGUCUCAAAGGAUUAGUUGAGAAUUGUUUUC
ensembl:lncRNA CTNNA2-AS1 CTNNA2 antisense RNA 1